AUGAAUACAGUAUAGAGUUACUGCUGCUGUUCUUCAUGUGUUUAGUAUGAAUACAGUAUAGAGUUACUGCUGCUGUUCUUCAUGUGUUUAAUAUGAAUACAGUAUAGAGUUACUGCUGCUGUUCUUCAUGUGUUUAAUAUGAAUACAGUAUAGAGUUACUGCUGCUGUUCUUCAUGUGUUUAGUAUGAAUACAGUAUAGAGUUACUGCUGCUGUUCUUCAUGUGUUUAGUAUGAAUACAGUAUAGAGUUACUGCUGCUGUUCUUCAUGUGUUUAGUAUGAAUACAGUAUAGAGUUACUGAUGCUGUUCUUCAUGUGUUUAAUAUGACUAACACACUAAGACUAAGAGCUGUAUUCAGUCCGUAUCGUGGAAAUUCAGCGUUACAGUGUGAUUUAAAUUUAAAGGCAAUGUACCCACGUUAGUGGAGACUACAUUCAAGGUAAACACUGUAUAUUUAGACUCAAUCAGAAAUGACCUUUACAUUUCUGUCAGUCAAUCUGUAACCCUUCAUCAAUACAGACUGAAUAGAGUACUAAGUAGAGAUAUUAGUGUUUCACCUGUAUGUUUCAGAUGCUGCUGUUGGACCAAGUCAUUUGACAUACGCCCAGAUUCAACUCACAAAGUUGGACAAGAAAAAGAAGAAAAGCCAGCUGAUCCAAAAGAAAGUCCAGUCUACUCUGAGGUGAAGACAGGAAAAGCCACAAGUAAGACCCAUUCUACUAGUUGGCAGUUAGUCACUAAAUUCACAAUUUGAGAGUUUUGAUGAAGAGGCAGAAUAUUAAAUAAGAUAAUUCCUUAAUUUGUUGACUGGAAAUGUCCAUUGUCAUCCGCAGCUGGACCUGUUGAUGUGACCUAUGCUGAGGUUGUCCUCCAAAAGAAGACCAAAGCCAAGAAGAAGAGGUAAGACUGGACAUCCCUCCCUCCAUAUUCCCCCUAUCAGAACCUCACACCUCUGACCACAUAUUGAAUAUCUAUAUAUUUUAUCCUCACUCCCUACAGAAACAACCCCACCUGAGACAGAUUCAGUCUAUUCUCAACUGAAGCCAGGUAAGACUAAUAUCCAUAUGCUAUUGAUACUAAUAUGAUACUUAUAUGUAAACCUCUCACCACAGACUUGGACAGAUCAGCAAGGGAAUAAGGGUGAAAAACACAUCUCAGUGUAUGAACUUGUAUGAUAUUGACUGGUGUAAAGUACUUAAGUAAAAAUGAUUUCAGGUACUACUUAACACUUUGGUUAUCUUUACUUUAAACUUUAAUAUUCAUACUUUUACUUUUACUUUACAUUUCUAAAGAAAAUCAUGUACUUUUUACUCCAUAUAUUUUCCUUGACACCCAAAAGUACUUAGCAGGACAGGAUAAUGGUCCAAUUCACACACUUAUCAAGAGAACACGUGGUCAUCCCUACUGCCUCUGAUAUGGCGGACUCACUAAACACAAAUGCAUCGUUUGUAAAUUAUGUCUGA
rnacentral:lncRNA from 13 species